GACCUGGGCCUCGCACCUCGCGCCCGGAUGCCGCUCUCUCCCCGCGCGGUCACCCGUUCCCUGGGAAGCAGAGUGGGCAGCUGUGGCAGAUGGGACUGAUGGGACGAGGACGACGCGUGGAAAUGACUGUGAGGGUGGACAGAGGCCUGGGAACUCUAAACGGAGAAGGUGGAAAGGGCCUUCAGAGGAAGUCCAGGUUACUUACUAAAGCGGAAUGGAAGCCAACAGAUACCAGCGUUUAUAUUUUAUUCAACUUUAUUAAAAAUUAAAACUACAGAAACCAAACCGAAUGCACAAAUAAGAGAGUGGGGAAACAGACAGGCAGCAAUGGCAGCUGGUAACUGUGGCGAGUGGAUAAUCCGCAUGACUCACAUCCCACCCCUGCGACUGAGGAGCCCAGAACGCUGCGCUGGCACUGUUGUGCCCUCUUCCACCACAGGGGCACAGAAACCUGCAGGAGACUGAAAACGAUUACAAACAUCUUCAACCAGCUCUCUGGCCAAAGGCAGCAGAAGCAGCCUGAAUACGAAACUCACGCCAAGAGGGCAGCAGCUCUCCUGACAUCCAUGUAAGAAGGCUAACACCUAAACCACACGCAGGCAUCCUGAACUCAGCAGCUCUGAUCCAAGGUACCGAGUGGAGACAAAGCACUCAGAGGUGGCAAGAUGUUCAGCAACCAAGUAAGACACACUGGCAAGGCAUCCCACCCAAAGGUGAGAAGCACAAAGCAGGCUUGGAGAAACAAACAGUCAUGCCAGGUGCAGCCAGACAUCCUGCUAUAAGCCCUGACCCUAGUACCCCGAGUUCAUCAAGUGCUCUGGUUUUGUGUCCAUAAAGCACAGAGGGCACUGACCACUCAGUCUGACCGCCCCAAACCAGAAUCCCAAGGAAUCCUUAUGGAUGGCAUAGGGCCUCAGAA